AGAGUUUGAUCCUGGCUCAGGACGAACGCUGGCGGCGUGCUUUACACAUGCAAGUCGAGCGAUGAGAUCCCUUCGGGGAUGGAUUAGCGGCGAACGGGUGAGGAACACGUGAGGAAUCUACCUUCAACACUGGGAUAACUCCGGGAAACCGGGGCUAAUACCGGAUACGAGAACCGCAGGCAUCUGUGGCUCUGGAAAGUUUUUCGGUUGAAGAUGACCUCGCGGCCUAUCAGCUUGUUGGUGAGGUAAUGGCUCACCAAGGCGACGACGGGUAGCCGGCCUGAGAGGGCGACCGGCCACACUGGGACUGAGACACGGCCCAGACUCCUACGGGAGGCAGCAGUGGGGAAUAUUGGGCAAUGGAGGGAACUCUGACCCAGCGACGCCGCGUGCGGGAUGAAGGCCUUCGGGUUGUAAACCGCUUUCAGCAGGGAAGAAGCGAAAGUGACGGUACCUGCAGAAGAAGCACCGGCUAACUAUGUGCCAGCAGCCGCGGUAAUACAUAGGGUGCAAGCGUUGUCCGGAAUUAUUGGGCGUAAAGAGCUCGUAGGUGGUUCGUCGCGUCGGAUGUGAAAAUCUAGGGCUUAACCCUAGACCUGCACUCGAUACGGGCGAGCUAGAGUGUGGUAGGGGAGACUGGAAUUCCUGGUGUAGCGGUGGAAUGCGCAGAUAUCAGGAGGAACACCAAUGGCGAAGGCAGGCCUCUGGGCCAUUACUGACACUGAGGAGCGAAAGCGUGGGGAGCGAACAGGAUUAGAUACCCUGGUAGAAUCACUAGUGAAUUC
rnacentral:rRNA from 1 species